rnacentral:lncRNA from 1 species
GGGUGCCCUCACUGAAAGCAAGUAUGCAUGUGUGAUCUUCCUGGAAGGGGUGUCAUGGCCCACAGCAGAUUCUCGAAGGGGCCCAUCAUUUCAAGUUUCUGAAAGACACAUUUUCAAGGCUGGUUACUUUGGUGGACACAGACUUGUCACUGCAGUGUAGAUCCCAACCAUCAGGCUGUCUUUCUCAAGAUGUUCUUGAGUGAGAGAAGCAGUAAAUAGAGGAGGAGGAAGAGGAGAAAGAGAGGAAGAAAAAAAAUUCGUGAUUAAGAAAGGUAAGUUCAAGUACACAGGGAAGAUGAAGUGAAGCAGUUCCCUUCACUUGGGCAAAUGAGUCUCCUGAGAA